rnacentral:misc_RNA from 1 species
UACUCUAUGAGUCAAACGCUCACUUCUGCUAAAAUAUUUUUUUCAGGUUGCACAAGGAGCAAAUUUAUUUUCGAAUCUAACCUGCAUUUUUCCUUCGCAGGUUAUGCUUCUUAGUUUAAUAAAUUCUUGUGUCUAAUUAUUUAUUUAUUUAAUUAUCUGUUUUAUAACUAGCACUCCGCUGUGACAUUGGGUUAUGUAUUUUUAGUAUUUGUAAAUGAAAAUUUUUUAUGUUAUUUAAAUAAUUGUAAAUAAUGUAACAGAGUUGAACUGAGCUCCCCUAGUUUUAGUUUCUAAUGGUUAUCGAGUUGCAUUAGCCCGAAUGAAAAUAUAAUGUUCUAUUUUAUUUUAUUGACAUGUUGGGCCUUAAAUUUGACUCUGGUUAUAGAUUUGGGAAUAGUAAGGCUUAUUACGGGCUUUGUAGAUUUUAUGCCGAUCCAGGUCUUAGUGUCGGUCCAGCCCAUGAAAUUGGGUCAUGACAAUAUGAUUCACUUUUAUAUAGUGAUGAUGAUGAUUCUUUUUUGAAUUUAU